rnacentral:rRNA from 1 species
UCUUGAGUUUGAUCGUGGCUCAGGACGAACGCUGGCGGCGUGCCUAAUACAUGCAAGUCGAACGCUUUUUCUUGUCACCGGAGCUUGCUCCACCGAAAGAAAAAGAGUGGCGAACGGGUGAGUAACACGUGGGUAACCUGCCCAUCAGAAGGGGAUAACACUUGGAAACAGGUGCUAAUACCGUAUAACACUAUUUUCCGCAUGGAAGAAAGUUGAAAGGCGCUUUUGCGUCACUGAUGGAUGGACCCGCGGUGCAUUAGCUAGUUGGUGAGGUAACGGCUCACCAAGGCAACGAUGCAUAGCCGACCUGAGAGGGUGAUCGGCCACACUGGGACUGAGACACGGCCCAGACUCCUACGGGAGGCAGCAGUAGGGAAUCUUCGGCAAUGGACGAAAGUCUGACCGAGCAACGCCGCGUGAGUGAAGAAGGUUUUCGGAUCGUAAAACUCUGUUGUUAGAGAAGAACAAGGAUGAGAGUAAAAUGUUUCAUCCCCUUGACGGUAUCUAACCAGAAAGCCACGGCUAACUACGUGCCAGCCGCCGCCGUAACACA